rnacentral:rRNA from 1 species
AUACGGGGGGAGCGAACGUUGUUCGGAAUCACUGGGCGUAAAGCGCACGUAGGCGGCUUGUCAAGUCAGAUGUGAAAGCCCACGGCUCAACCGUGGAAGUGCAUUUGAAACUGGCAGGAUAGAAUAUGGGAGAGGGUUGUAGAAUACCAGGUGUAGAGGUGAAAUUCGUAGAGAUCUGGUAGAAUACCGGUGGCGAAGGCGGCAACCUGGACCAAUAUUGACGCUGAGGUGCGAAAGCGUGGGGAGCGAACAGGAUUAGAAACCCUAGUAGUCC